rnacentral:rRNA from 1 species
CCUACGGGAGGCAGCAGUGAGGAAUAUUGGUCAAUGGGCGCGAGCCUGAACCAGCCAAGUCGCGUGAGGGAUGAAGGUUCUAUGGAUCGUAAACCUCUUUUAUAAGGGAAUAAAGUGUGGGACGUGUACGAUUUUGCAUGUACCUUAUGAAUAAGGAUCGGCUAACUCCGUGCCAGCAGCCGCGGUAAUACGGAGGAUCCGAGCGUGAUCCGGAUUUAUUGGGUUUAAAGGGUGCGUAGGCGGCCUUUUAAGUCAGCGGUGAAAGUUUGUGGCUCAACCGUAGAAUUGCCGUUGAUACUGGCGGCCUUGAGUUUGUUUGAGGCCGGCCGAAUGCGUGGUGUAGCUGU